CGAACAAGGCCCUGCUCUCCUUAUCUGUUGUGCUGUGUGCUGGAAUGGCUCCCUUGUGUUUCUAUAGCUUAACUCUUUUAUGAGGCUAGGUUGGCUUCUUGUUCAACCACCGAGGUGGAGGACCAAUGUGCUACUUUUUGUCUGGUUCCUAGUGUGGCAUAUUGAAAAUUCUGCUAAAAUUGUGGCUGUCAUUUAAAAUGUCAGGGGUUUUUCCUGGUCCUGAUUGCAGGCAGGGGGAUCUGUAGAGAAGUGUGCAAUCUGGGUCCAGCAGCAAUCAGUCUGCAAAGACACAGCAUACAGCAAGGUGGGGUGAGUUGGGCCUUUGUGCCUCAGGGAGCAGCCUGCUUUUUCUCUCUGUGUUUUUGGUUCUUGUGUAUUAGGGUUCUGGAUUCUAAGAAAUAAAUAGUAUAAUGUUGCAACCUUCCAACAAGAGUAUUAUGCCUUUAUCUAAUUUCUCUGUUUGUGUGCCAUGAAACAGGACACACAAGCUUUCCCAUCACAUCUAAGUGUUGUUCCCAGGUAGACAGUUCCCGGAAUGCCCCAGCAAGGAUUCUCCAGCCUCGUCCACAACCCUAACUGAAUUGGCACCUUUUGGACAUUCUGCAGCUAUGAAUCAUUUUCAGAUGAAAGGGGAAAUGAUGCUGUUUUUCCCUAAAGUAACUUUAUUUUUUCUCCCAAAGCUUUGAGUUUUACAUCCCAGCAGCAGCUGGCCUCCAACUGCAUUUCCUCAUCAGGGGAUCUCCUUGCUCCUGAACUAUAUCUGGACAAGUCAUCGGCUUAUGUGGGCGACACUGUUCUUUAUCGGUGUCUCACCCCCUCGGACGCCCCUGUGAGCUUCGCUUUCCUUUGCAAGGAUGGCAAGGAAAUGACCAGGAAACCGGCUGUGCCAGGGAAAUUGUCCUUUGACUUUCCCCAUCAUGUGUCUGGGCAGAGUUCGGGCAACUAUUCCUGUGGGUAUCAGCACAAGAGCCUCCACAACCAAGUGCAGAGUUCUCACCUCAGCAUCACCCACUACCUGAGUGUCACAAGUGAGUAAGCGUCCAUUGU
rnacentral:lncRNA from 1 species